GUAUCUAGAUUUUUAUUUUCAAAUGUAGACUAGACUAGAGAUAUAACAAAUUAACUAUUUUUUUAUUUUUAAUAUCACAAAAAAUAUAUCAGAUUGUUGCAGAAAAAUAUACUGUACAGCAAUGGGGUUGUAUGUCAGGAGGCGGUUAGUUGCUAUUGUCAGCCUAUAGCAUAAAAAUUUUAUUUAAACUUACUUUGCGAAGGAGUAUAUUGCAUGCUUACUAGGACUAUAUUGUAUUGGAGGCCAACAUACUUUCUUUCAGCAAAUACAACACUUGGUUUUCCUAUGAUGUUGAAACAGAUAACUGUUUCUUUGAGCACUAGGUAAACUAGAUUCUUGUGUUUAGGUUUUAUACAGACAAACAAACAAAAAAAAACAUAUUGUUAAAUACAGAAUCCAUAUUCAGUGUGGAGAAAUGUUCAAACCCACAGAGUCUCUUGGAUAGUGAGACAAGCAGAAGAACCAGACCACUGAGUUUUCCCAACUUAUACUCUCUCUGGGACCAUGAUUGGGACUACCAGGCAAAAUUCCCUGAAGUGUUUUAAUUUAUUCUCAUUUAUUUAUAUUCAUUGUCUCAUCCUCUUUCCUGUUCACAUCAUAGAUUUUGUAUGAGUGAAAAUAUAUCUGUGAUGUGAUUCUGUAAUAAAAUGCCACCUAAGAAUCUCCUUUCCAUUUUCCUACCUUUCUACUCCCCAGGAAUUCCUUCUGUUAAUCAAUUGGCAUGUAUCCUUUCAGAUAUUUUUCUUGUGCAUAUAAACGUAUUUAUAGAAUAUGUGUUUUGUACUGUUUAUUAUACAGAACUAUACUUAUAUAAUGUUAUCCAGCAUAUAAUAUAUAUAAUGUAUAUAUCUAUAAAAUAGAUACCUAAAAGUAAAAUUGGAUAUCAUAUGGUCUGUGUAUUUAAAUUUUUCAUAGCUAAAUUGAACUUUAAAACAUUGGAGCAGAUUUAUACUUCCACCAUAGUAGAUGUGCAGAAUUUUUUAAAAUGAGGAAGUACUACCAAAUCAAUUCGAGUAUAAUCAGUAUACUCUAAGUGUCUUAACCCAAAAUAUCCCUUUCUUUAUUAUUAAAGGAGAUAUGGCAAGAUAAAAGCAGUCAAUAAUUUUUUUUGUAAUUUAAGGUUAAUGAUUUUUCUGUAAUUAAAAGAAUUGUCAAGUCAAUUCUUCAGUGUUUUGGUAAUCUAGAGCAGAGGUGACUAAACUUAUUCUGCAAAAGGUCAAUUUGUAAAUAUUUUAGGUUUAGUGGGUCAUACAGUCUCUGUUACAGCUACUCAAAAGCAUUAUAAAAGCAAAAGCAGCCAUAGAAAAUAAUGUCAGUGAAUGGGCCUGUGUGUGUUCCAAUAAAACUUAAUUUACAAAACCAGUCAGUGGGCCAAAUCCUGUAGACUGCAGUUAGCAGGUAGUUUCAUAUAAAAUGGUUCUUUUGCUUUUUUACUUUUUUUCUGAAAUAACUGAGCACACAAAUGUGUUGCAGUGGACUUUUCUUCUUUUUCUUCUUCCAUUCCUCUAUAACCUUAAAAAAAAUCUACCAAUAACAAAAAAUGAAGCACCCACUAAACCCUGAAAUUUUGUUCCUGGUAAAAAUGGCUGGGUGUGGUGGCCCACACCUGUAAUCCUAGCACUUUAUGGGGCCAGAGCAGCAGGACUGCUUGAACCCAGGAGUUUGAGACCAGCCUGGGCAAUAUGGUGAGACCCCAUCUCUAAAAAAAAAAAUAGAAAAAUUAGCUGGGUAUGGUGGUGUAUGCCUGUGGUUCCAGCUAUUCUGGAGGCUGAGGUGGAAGGAUCACUUGAGUCGAGAAGGUUGAGGGUGCAGUGAAUCAUUAUUGAACCACUUAAUGCCAGCUGGAUGACAGAGUGAGACCCUGUCUCAAGAAAAAAAGGUGUAUUCUGAUAGCCAAAUGUCUUAUAUGUAUGUCACUUCCGUUACAUACAUUCUAAGGAAAGAAGAGCUUCAUCCAAGAUUUGAAGUGUGUUCUAUCAUCCCCUUCCCAAUUGAUGUUAUAUUCAGCCUAUUUUUUGUUAUAUAUUAAUAUUAUUAGCCUAUAAUCAGAAGAUGUUUGAUUAACCCAAAUUUCCCAUAUAAAUUUAUUAUAUAUAAUUUUGUUUUUCUGUUUGCAAAAUAUUAUAUGACCCUGUGACAUUUUAAGCUGUGGGCUUUUUUAUAAGAACCAUUGCCCAUGGUGUAAGCACUGUUGAGAACUGUCUCCAUAUUCUAAAUUAGGUGAUGGUUUGCCUAAAUAUUUAAAUCCAAGGGUAGUUUUAGUGUUUUUCAGAUACUUACAUUUACAUUGUUUCUCAUUCACUCUCCUUGUUUUUGUUUUUAAAGUGAGUGAAUGUUAAUUCCCUCAGUUACGUUUGUUGAUUCAGAUUCAUUAUAGACUUAAUGAUGAGGUCUGAAAUUUAUAGCUUACUUCCACAGUAAAUCUGCAUAUUGUCUUAUUAGUUUGUUUUCUCUGUACACACGUUGUUCCACAUAACAAAUGAAAAAUCCUUGUAUUUUAGGGUAGGUUUCAGCAAUGCAGAUUUCCAUUGGGUGCCAUCUUGUUUCUUACGCUGGCUUUAUAAGCUGCUAAAAUUAUUCCUGUUCCUAAUUGUAUACUGGCUGGUGAUCAUGGUAAAACUAAGGAAAAUAAGCUUAUUUUGAAUAGCUGUGUAAUUCCUGUUUAUCACUACUUUAUGAUUAAAAUUUGGUGCUUUUGAAUUUACCUGGCAGUGUAGUCUAGGGCAGUGCUUCUCGGUGUCUAUAGCAAAAACCCCGUGUGGGUGUUUGUUUUUAAUUUUCAGACUAAUAUAGAUCAGUAUUUUUGUAAAGUACAAUAAAAGCUGUAGCAAUGUCAUACUGCUAUAUUUUCAAACAUUUUUACUUUUUUUAAGUAAAGUAAAAUUUACCUCAUUGCAGAGCAGCAAGAGUCUGCAUACUAUACUUUGAAUAGCACUGUUUUAAGAGCGAGAACACUGGCCUGUGGUUCUUUCAAAACUCUGCCCCUGACUUUAGACAAAUUAAUUAACAUGCUUGAGGCCAAGUUUCCUAUUUUGAAAUAGAAUUUCAAUCAAAAUUUCUGAAGUCCUUCUUAAGGCCCUAAUUUUUAUUCCUUUAAUAGAACAUCAAUAUUUGGGACCACAUUUUGAAUGACCACAUAGAUUCAUUCAUUUUUCAACAACUAUUUAUUGAGUGCCUACUAUAUGUUGAUUUAGGUGUCAUAUUGCAAUGAACAAAGUAGACAUAAAUUACUGUCUUCAUGGAAUUUACAUUUUAGUGGUUGGGGGGGAAUGUAUCAACAAAAUCAAUGAGUAGAUUAUGUGGUAUGUUAGAGAGUACAAUUGCUCUGGAAGAAAUAAGCCAGGGAGAUAGUUGGGUGGUUCUUGCCGGAAGUGGAGAGUGGCUGAUUGAAGUCCGGAGGUGGUACAUUCUGGCUGACAUGCAAAAUCUGGUAGAAAGAUUGGAGAGGGCGGUGGGCCACCUGGUGGCAGUAUCCCAUACCUCUGACAUGCACUGUGGGUAUCGAGACCGUCCUUCAAAAGCAGGAGCAACUCCCUAUGUGCAGGCAUUUGACUCGCUGCUUGGCGGUCCUGUGACAGAGUACUUGAAGAUCAUUAAAGAGACUGGGGGAGACAUGCAGAAACAUGUGGAGAUGGUCCACACAGGUUUGAAGUUGGAGCGAGUUCUCUUGGUUACAGCUUCUCAGUGUCAACAGCCAGCAGAUAAUAAGUUUUCUGAUUUGUUGGCACCCAUCUCAGAGCAGAUCAAAGAAGUGAGAAGCAAGGCAGCAAGUUGUUUAAUCACCUGUCAGCUGUCAGCGAAAGCAUCCAGGCCCUGGGCUGGGUGGCUAUGGCUCCCAAGCCUGGCCCUUAUGUGAAAGAAAUGAAUGAUGCUGCCAUGUUUUAUACAAACUGAGUCCUCAAAGAGUACAAAGAUGUGGAUAAGAAGCAUGUAGACUGGGUCAAAGCUUAUUUAAGUAUAUGGACAGAGCUGCAGGCUUACAUUAAGGAGUUCCAUACCACCAAACUGGUAUGGAACAAAACGGGGCCUGUGGCAAAAGAACUGAGUGGACUGCCUUCUGGACCCUCUGCUGGAUCAGAUCCUCCUUCCCCACCACCAGGCCGCCCUCCACCAGUCUCUACCAGUUCAGGCUCAGAUGAAUCUGCCUCCCGUUCAGCACUGUUUAUGCAGAUUAAUCAGGGGGAGAGCAUCACACAUGCCCUGAAACACAUGUCUGUUGACAUGAAGACUCACAAGAACCCUACCUUGAAGGCUCAGAGUGGACCAGUAGACAGUGGCCCCAAGCCAUUCUCUGUACCUAAACCCCAAACCAGCCCAUCCCCAAACCAGCCGCAAAGAAGGAGCCAGGUGUACUUGAACUGGAGGGCAAGAAGUGGAGAGUGGAAAAUCAGGAAAAUGUUUCCAACCUGGUGAUUGAUGACACAGCUGAAACAGGUGGCUUACAUUUACAAGUGUGUCAACACGAUGUUGCAAAUCAAGAACAAAAUUAACUCCAUUGCAGUAGAUAACUCCAAGAAACUUGGCCUGGUAUUUGAUGAUGUAGUGGGCAUUGUGGAAAUAAUCAACAGUAAGGAUGUCAAAGUUCAGGUAAUGGGUAAAGUGCCAACCAUUUCCAUUAACAAAACAGAUGGCUGCCAUGCUUACCUGAGCAAGAAUUCCCUGGAUUGUGAAACAGUCACUGCCAAAUCUUCUGAGAAGAACGUCCUCAUUCCUACAGAAGGCAGUGGCUUUAAUGAAUUCCCAGUUCCUAAGCAGUUCAAGACCCUAUGGAAUGGGCAGAAGUUGGUCACCCCAGUGACAGAAAUUGCUGGAUAAGUAAAGUGCCACUGGGUUCUUUGCCCUCCCUUCACACCAUGGGAUAGAUCUGUAUCAAGACGAUUCUUUUCUAGAUUUUCUCCACCUUUCUGCUCUUAAAACUGCUUCUCUGCUUUGAGAAGCACAGCUACCUGCCUUCACUGAAAUAUACCUCAGGCUGAGAUUUGGGGUGGAAUAGCAGAUCAGUUGAUCUUCUGCAGGAAGGUUCAGCUUUUCCAUAUCAGCUCAACCAUGCCAGCAGUCCAUUCUUAAGGAACUGCCAACCAGGACUGAUGAUGCAUUUUAGCUUUGAGCUUUUGGGCAUUUAUUCUACCAACAAACAGUCCAUUGAGAAGAAAACAGUCCCAGGAAUUAACAGAUCAGAAUGUUCACACUGGUUAAUCUUUUUCUAACAAUGAGCAUGAAGGUAGCAGAAGCUGGUGUGUUUCCAGAUGGUUCUUCUAACCAAACUAAUUUUUUACUAUUGACAAGUGAGGCAAGGGUUGCACUGGACCAAAGGCUGAGGCUUGGCCAUCUAGCAUUCUACACAAAAUUGUUCCCUAUAAGCAUUCCUUUUAUUCUCUAUUCCAUCCUGGGUCUGCCUCUACCAUGCUGUGGCAGUGCCCUUCAUCCAGAGCAGUUAAAGGAGUCUUGGACCCUUUCUUUCUCUAAGAUUCCUGCCCAGCACCUUCUACAGAGAUGUCUUAAAAGGGAAAAAAAGGAAAAAACACACCAUUCCAAGGAGUCUGGCAUUCCUGAAUCCUCCUUGCCUGCUAGGUUUCUGUUACCUGUCUUCACUGUCUCCUUUUCCCUGUCAUGCUCAUCAGCUAUGGCUUCUGUCCAGGCACCUGAACAGAGGACUAAAACCUCCAUUGCAGGCUGGUUUAGGUCUUGAUUUAUAUAAGAAUCUUGCAAAGCACUGCUAAUAUAAAGUUCAGUUUUUUCCCUCUAGGACAAACACUUACCAAAAUGUGCAACUUUUUCUGGUGGGAAGAGAGAUUGUCCUGUGAUUUCUACCCAUUUCCUGAGGCCUGUGGAAAUAAACCUUUAUGUACUUAAAGUUAAAAAAAAAAAGAAAUAA